rnacentral:rRNA from 1 species
CAGUCGCCACGGUAAUACGUAGGGUGCAAGCGUUAAUCGGAAUUACUGGGCGUAAAGCGUGCGCAGGCGGUUCGCUAAGACAGAUGUGAAAUCCCCGGGCUUAACCUGGGAACUGCAUUUGUGACUGGCGGGCUAGAGUAUGGCAGAGGGGGGUAGAAUUCCACGUGUAGCAGUGAAAUGCGUAGAGAUGUGGAGGAAUACCGAUGGCGAAGGCAGCCCCCUGGGCCAAUACUGACGCUCAUGCACGAAAGCGUGGGGAGCAAACAGGAUUAGAUACCCCUGUAGUCCCUGUCUCUUAUAC